GACCUUAUCCCCACGCCCGCUCUACGCCAUCCCCGCCCCCUCGGCACCUUCCCAGGCAGCAGGCGUCGCCGCAGGCACCUCCCUCCUUGGCAGUAGGCGCCGCCGUCACCACUUCCCUCCCCGGCAGCAAGCACCGCCGCCCCCAACUUCCUCCGGCGGCAGAAGCGUGGCCGCCUCCAUCUCCCUCCCCAGCAGACGCACCACCGACCUCACCUCCCCCCCGGCAGCCGCGCUGUCGCGACUCCACCUCCUGGCCGUGCCGCCGCGCGCCUCCAUCUCCCGGCUUCCCGGCGCCGCCCUGUCGGCCACCUCCUGCGGCCCAGCUCAAUCCAGUCCCGCCGGCUUUCGCCAUGCAAGCCAACCAGGACACCUCCACCGCGACAGAGAUGUCGCCCCGCGCUCCCCACCGGCUUGCCCUCGCUGCCUGCCCCGUGCCUCCAAUCGGAGCACCCCAUCGCCGUCCACCGUGGCACCUCGCCACCACUUGCAGAUGGAGGAGGCCUCGGCCUGCAGCUAGAGGAGUUCUUGACCUGCAUCUGCAGAUGAAUGGCACAUCCGGGAGAUAUAGGAGAUGGCAGCGCACCUCCCACUCACCAUGGACGGCGUCCCCUCCUCUGCUCGAACUUCUUCUCCAACCUCAGCCUCGCCAACCUGAUAUUCCUCGGUGAAGCCCGGCAAGUGGUGUGCUCUUUCUGUUACUGUUCUUCCUCACAAAAGCAUGUGUCCGCAACCGUUGGCCAACUCUGACCACUCCAACUUCCUGCUCCUCUCUUCUAAUUCAUCUUUUCUCCUAUCCAAGUAUGCGUGUGCGCAGCUAAAGUUCAACAAUUGGGCAGAGAGCCGGAGACGGCGAGUCAACGUCACAAAGGACAAUGGGCCGCCUCUGAUGCUGCGCACAGGCUUGAGGCAGUGUCAUCAAACCCCGUCAGAUUGCACGUCCACAGUCCACCCGAGCUCCAUGUCCAGCUGGGUCCGAUGCAAGGAUGUAAGGUCCUAUCUGACCUCUCUUCUUUCUCUGAAACAAGCACGAAGAAGCAUCAGGUAUUUGAUGCUCUUUAGUUCUACGAAGUGCUAGCUAUACUAUACAUGUACAAGCCGUGCAUAUGCUGGCUGGAGCGUGUGUGCACUGGUGCGUGGGGCAUGUACUCUCUUUUUUAGAUGCUUGUACUGAAAAACGUGGGCAUUUUCUGAAUCAGAUAGAGGGGUUGGUUGUUGAUUCAGGUGAA